UACGGGGGGAGCAAGCGUUGUUCGGAUUUACUGGGCGUAAAGGGCGCGUAGGCGGCGCAACAAGUCACUUGUGAAAUCUCCGGGCUUAACCCGGAGCGGCCAAGUGAUACUGUCGUGCUAGAGUGCGGAAGGGGCUACUGGAAUUCUGCGGUGUAGCGGUGAAAUGCGUAGAUAUCGAGAGGAACACCUGCGGCGAAGGCGGGUAGCUGGGCCGAACACUCGACGCUGAGGCGCGAAAGCCAGGGGAGCGAACGGG
rnacentral:rRNA from 1 species